CAGCCAUGCCGCGUGAGUGAAGAAGGCCUUCGGGUUGUAAAGCUCUUUCGGCCGGGAAGAAUCGUGGUCUCUAACAUAGGCCAUGGAUGACGGUACCGGACUAAGAAGCACCGGCUAACUACGUGCCAGCAGCCGCGGUAAUACGUAGGGUGCGAGCGUUAAUCGGAAUUACUGGGCGUAAAGCGUGCGCAGGCGGUUUUGUAAGACAGAUGUGAAAUCCCCCGGGGCUUAACCUGGGAACUGCGUUUGUGACUGCAAGGCUAGAGUACGGCAGAGGGGGGUGGAAUUCCUGGUGUAGCAGUGAAAUGCGUAGAGAUCAGGAGGAACACCGAUGGCGAAGGCAGCCCCCUGGGCCUGUACUGACGCUCAUGCACGAAAGCGUGGGGAGCAAACAGGAUUAGAUACCCUGGUAGUCCACGCCCUAAACGAUGUCGACUAGUCGUUCGGAGCAGCAAUGCACUGAGUGACGCAGCUAACGCGUGAAGUCGACCGCCUGGGGAGUACGGCCU
rnacentral:rRNA from 1 species